UCGUGCUAGAUGGGGAGGUAGCGGCGCCCUGUACCCGCAAUCCGCUCUAGCGGGAUCGAAUUCCCGUCCAGAGGUCUGUCUGCCCUAGCGCCGGACGACCCCGAGGGCGCUGAAGGUCGGAUUCCACGCAACGUGAGGCUUCUGAACUCCGUCAGGACCGGAAGGUAGCAGCGGUAAGAAUGCUGAUGCGUGUGCCGUGGAGAUGUCUGGCCGGAGCCCGAGGGACCCGAAGGUUGUUGGGCACCGGGUCGAAGAUGGGUGCACGA
rnacentral:SRP_RNA from 2 species